rnacentral:rRNA from 1 species
UACGUAGGGGGCAAGCGUUGUCCGGAUUUAUUGGGCGUAAAGAGCGUGUAGGCGGCCAGGCAGGUCCGUUGUGAAAACUCGAGGCUCAACCUCGAGACGUCGACGGAAACCGUCUGGCUAGAGUCCGGAAGAGGAGAGUGGAAUUCCUGGUGUAGCGGUGAAAUGCGCAGAUAUCAGGAAGAACACCGAUGGCGAAGGCAGCUCUCUGGGACGGUACUGACGCUGAGACGCGAAAGCGUGGGGAGCGAACAGG